GGGAAGGGAGCGCGGCCGGAGCGGCUGCGGCGCGUGGCCUGAGGCGGAGAGCCGGGCGGGCGGCUGGGGUCUGGGCCCGGCCCGGCGCCGGCCUGACCCGCCUCGCUAGCAAAUGCAGGCCGGGCUUCCUCCUCCUCCUCGGCGGGCGGCGGGGGAGGGGAGGGGACUCCGGGUCGGGGCAGGAGGGAAAGGUGGUCCUGAUUCUCCCGUGGCCAGAGCCCACAAAACUAUCCUGACCUCCCGCGGAGACGCCUCUGCGCCCUCCCGCAGACCUGCUGCGCCCCUUCUCAGGCACCCGGGCCUCUGCAGGGUCCAGAGAGACGCCCCCUCCCUGGGAGCAGCGGGAAGAGCUCCGGGGGACAGAGGAGGCCACCGAGAAGGAUGCUGCCGCCGUCGCCCUAACAGUAGAGCACGGGCUCGGGUAUCGCACGAGGCCUCCCCUUUCUAGGUAAGGGGCUGGCCAGGGCCCUGAACGCCUGGGACCUCCACCCCGGAGUCAAGCGAGGUGCAGCCACCGCCCUCCGAAGAGCGGGCUCUGGUGCGGAGUGUGGGACAACUGGCGACACUUUGGCCUAUCUGAAACCCCAGGCCUCAAGGCGGCUGCUUUAGGCUUCAAGUUGAGCGGGGUCCCUCCCACCUGCCCUCCCCGAGGCACGGAGACCCUAUCCGGUGGAAGUGGGGAACCCCUAGUCCCCGCAGAAACGGAGUCCCUGGCGCAAGGAGGUGGAGCGGGUUCCGCAGCCUCAGCCCUGGCGUCGUGGACUCAGCGGAAACCCACGCGGCCAGCAACACCCACCCGAACCUGGCGACUGGCGCGACCAGGCGAGCUCCGCGGGGCCGCGGUGCGGGAAGAGGCUGCCUUGGGGCGCGAACGCAGCCCGCCGAGGGUAACCAGGAACGCGGAGCCUCGGGGUUGAAGUCCUAAAGUUACUAAUCUGGCUCAGGGGUAGAGAGCGUGCCUCAGACCGCCCGGGGCGGUCAUUUGAGCGUGUUUACUUAAGGACUUUGCAAGCCGAGCGCGCGCGAAAUAGUCGGAUUUCCAGCGAGGCAGCAAAUAUUUGCAGGCGGGAGAAAGAAGCGGAGCCGGACCGCGCCGCCGCGUCCCUCCCCCUGGAGCCGCGGCGCCGGCCUGGGCGGACCCAGCCGUGCUGUUAAGGACUGAAAUGAAGCCGGGAACCUGCGGGGCUGGGGGGCGGGGAGGGCUCCGAGCAGCUCCAAAGGGCAGCAAAGGGGAGCAAGGCCCGCGGCCCUGGCGAGCCUGGGCUGGGGGAGAAGUCCCUUCCCAUUCCAGCUCGAUCAAUCUUCCUUGGCUGCGAUCGGUCAAUAAAAAUGGUGUGAAACGGU